rnacentral:ncRNA from 1 species
UUUAAAUUUAAUUCUAGUUUUAUUAAUUAGUUUUUAUUUAAUUGUAAUAUGUAAAUUUUUGUGAGAUUUUUUAUAUUAUUUAAAUAAUAAUAUUAUAGUUUAUACGCAGUUUUUAUUUUUAUAUGUUUAGUAUACUGAGAUAUAGUUAAUUUAUUUAUGACUAGCAAAUAUUGUGCCAGCAGCUGCGGUUAUACAAUUAGUCAGAGUUAAUUUUAUUAGGGAUUUAUUUAUUUUUAAAUUGAUUAUUAUUAAUUUUUAAUUUUAAAGUGAAAUUUAAAUUUUAUGUUUAAUAAUUGGGUUAAUUUAUUGUUGAAUUAUAAGAAAUUUUUAUUUUAGACUAGGAUUAGAUACCCUAUUAUUUUUUAAUGUAAUUAUUUCUCUUAGUACUAUAAGUUAUGAUCUUUAAAUUGAAAGAAUUUGACGGUAAUUUAAUCAUUUUAGAGGAACCUGUUCUGUAAUCGAUAAUCCACGAUAGAUUUUACCUUUAAUAUAAAUUUAUUUGUAUAUCUCUGUCUGAUUGAAUGUUUUAUUAGGAAUAUUUUCUUAAAGUUUUGUUAGAAUUUUAUGUCAGGUCAAGGUGCAGUAUAUUUUGAGGGAUGAAAUGGGUUACAUUUUAAUUUUAAUAAUUGGAUUAUUUAUAUGUAAUUAUUUUAUGAAAUUGGAUUUAGUAGUAAUAAUCAAAAUAUUUUGAUUAUGAUAUAUGUUCUUGGUUAAGUACAUAUCGCCCGUCACUCUCAUUAAUAAGAUGAGAUAAGUCGUAACAAAGUAGUCCUAUCGGAAGUUGGGACUGGACUUACA